GCAGACAUGAAUCGUGUGCUCGUGUGCGUGCUGACGGCUGCUUUGAGUCUCGGAAACGGUCAGCAAACGGUGCACCAGCCGGCGGGCGAUGUCCACGCUGUGGAGGGCGCAAGGGUGACGCUGGACUGCAGCUUCGGCAGUACACGGAGCGACGACUUCAUCUUCUGGUACAAACAGCAAGUGAACGCAGCACCCGAGUUCGUUCUGAGCAACUCAAAGUUCAGUCGGGGCAAGACGGAGAAGAAGUACGCCGACAGGUUUCGCGCCAGCAUGGACGCCAGCGCCCUGCAAGCUCCUCUGCAUAUCGAGAGCGUGAAGCUGAGCGACUCGGCAGUCUACUACUGCGCCCUGCAGCCCACGCUGACACAUCCGCUGGCGUGCCUACACAAAAACACCUGCACGCGCCUCGUGCCACCAUACGUUGGGGGGCGCCAGCGUUGA